rnacentral:rRNA from 1 species
AGCAGCCGCGGUAAUUCCAGCUCCAAUAGCGUAUAUUAAAGUUGUUGCAGUUAAAAAGCUCGUAGUUGAAUUUCGGGAUCAAUUUGCUGGUCGUGCCUUCGGUACGCACUGGUAUUAUUGGUUUCUCCUUUCUGAUGAAUCACGAUGUCAUUAAUUUGGUGUCGUGGGGAAUCAGGACUGUUACUUUGAAAAAAUUAGAGUGUUUAAAGCAGGCUCACGCUUGAAUACAUUAGCAUGGAAUAAUGAAAUAGGACGUUUGAUUCUAUUUUGUUGGUUUCUAGGAUCGACGUAAUGAUUAAUAGGGAUAGUUGGGGGCAUUAGUAUUCAAUUGUCAGAGGUGAAAUUCUUGGAUUUAUUGAAGACUAACUACUGCGAAAGCAUUUGCCAAGGAUGUUUUCAUUAAUCAAGAACGAAAGUUAGGGGAUCGAAGACGAUCAGAUACCGUCGUAGUCUUAACCAUAAACUAUGCCGACUAGGGAUCGGAUGAUGUUAAUUUUUUAAUGACUCAUUCGGCGCCUUACG